rnacentral:lncRNA from 1 species
AUGUUUUUCUUUGUGUUAUUGGUCAGAGCCUUUUUUAUUUUUAUUAUUAUUAUUAUUAUUGUUAUUGUCGUUGUUGUUGAUUUCUUUUUAAAAAACCUGGCAGCCUUCAGGAUUUCCCCGUGUCACCCCGCAGAUACCCAGGGCCCUCUGGCCGCGCUCCCCCGGCCGCUGCCCGCAGUGCUCGGAGCAUCCCCGGAGCCGCGGCCGAGCAGCAGCAGCAGCCCCCGGCGGGCUGUCCCGUCCUGCCCGAGCACUGCUCGGCGGGGAGGGAGAGCGGCCCUGGCCCGUGAAAUCCCCUUGCCCGGCCACCCCGCUCCUUGCACGGACAUCGCCCGCAGAGAAAGGGGCUUUCCCUGCGGCGGUGCUGGCAGGAAGAAGUGGUCCAGCGGUUUCAUCCCACUUCGGGGGAGGGUCAGCCCCUCUUUAAACACGGCUUCCCAGGGCCAGUGGAUCCAAGCCGGUCUGUGCAUCCCGGAAUAUCUGGAAUAUCUGCUCCCCAAAGUUUUCCCCGGGCGGGACAGGGGAGCCGGACUGGGCAGGACAGUGCUGGGGUCCCUCCCGCCGGUGCUGAGGCUGCUCUGUUUGCUAAUUUUCGGCAGACAGCUUGGAAAACGUGCUCUUGCUUUGGCUUGUUUGUUUGUUUGUUUGCCGUGUGUUUGUUUCUCCGCUGGCAGCGUGGGGCCGGGGCUGUGUUUGGCGGCCCGCAGGCAGCAGCUUCUCCCGGCGCUGUCCGGGGCCGGCCCCUCGCCCUCCCGGCUUGGGCAGCAGCGGGGCGGGGGGAAGCGGCGAUCUGUCCUGACAGAGAGUGAAAACAGCGUUGGGCAUCACAAGUGGGAAAAAAAAAAUAAAAUAUACACCUCCGUCCAAAGCCCCCCCAGGCACCCAUCACCAAACCAAAGAAGAGGGAGCAGAAAAGCUCUGUUCGGCCAGUGUUUGGGCAGCCGGGGAGGCCCGGUGCUGCAGGGAAAAGACCGCGUUCUAGCGGCCACCGGGACAGUAUUUUUUAAUCUGUGA